AGAAGAAGAAGCAUGAAAAAGCCGCGGAGUGGAGGAAGAAAAAAGGUGCAGGAAGAUGCAGCUGGUGGAGGGGGAAAAAUGCUCAAAAGCCUCGCAAAGAGUUGUCGGAAGGGACCGUUAUUCCUGCUGGGCAGGAGAGAGAGGAGAGAGGACCCUGAAACACACGCCACCUAUCUUUGUGGGGAGGGAUAAUUGAAGAGCACCAAACGAGAUGGGCAGACAGACAGAGAAGACAAAGAUUUAUAAAGAUGGGAAAACAGAAGUCAUGCCUAUGUAAUCUUCCAUCUGUAAAGUGAAAAGAUCCGUGGCCUAUUCCACUGGCUUAAUGCAAGGACAAAAACAAUAAAGACUGUACAGCACGGUGCACAUUCAGCAUGUUUCAAAGAUUUCACUGAACAGAUGACAUGAGUGGCAGAAAUUGAGAGAGUGCAGCGUAUGCAGCCUAACAUUCAGCAAGCCUGCAGGAAAGCAGCAUGCUCUGCCUCAGGAGGUGAUGACAGCUUCUGAGCCAUGAUCCAGCCGCAGUGAAAGGCACAGCAGCAAGUUAAGAAGUUGGCAGUCCUACGAUACAACCUGGAGAGAUGAGCAUGGAGCUGUUUCUUGCAGCAGAAGUUGCGUGUGUGUGUGUUGACCAGGCAGUCCUUGUUGGUAGAAAAGGACUAUUAAAAGUACACAUCUGUGUCCAAAUUUUUACCCGCGAAGUGUUGGAGAGUAUGGAAACAAUCUGAAAAUAGGUGUGCUGAAUGGUACGAACCUGGAAGUUUGUUUUAUGUGUGUAAGAAAUAUGCACAUUUUAAUCCUACUGUCUCAUUCCUUUCCCAGGUUGCUGUCUCUCAAAUGAAAGCUAUGCAUGUUAGUGAUAAUCUUAUUACCAUAUGAUUCUUUGACAAAAGUAUCUAGUAUGUAAAGAUGUACUGGACAUACAAAUGUGUGAGACCUAAAAUGGCAAGAAUGCAAACAUUUGUGAGAUGUAUUACCUUUGGAAGGGCUUUACCCAGAAAGGGAGAAUUGAAACAGGAACAUUUCUCACUAAUUCUUCAUACCAAGGAAUAAUGAAAUAGAAAUGCCCUGGUUCCUGUUUUCUCUGUGAGCCAAAUCACUGAGCGUUUAUCAGAGUGUGUAUACCUGCUCCAAUUAAAUUAUUUUUCCAUGAAAGCUAGCUUUAUGGUAGUCUUGUGAGACACUUAAUGCACUUUCUCUUAAUUUCUAGGUAAUGUGGUGCUGACAAUCACUUAAGACAAUAAAGCUUAUAAGGUUGGUUUUUUAAAAAAAAAACAAUGGAAGAAUGUUUUUGUAGAAUAUCCUGAUGACACUUUUCUCAGAUGGAUGUCUUUCGCUGAAUUUGAUUAAUGUAAUGCAAUAAAAGAGAUGCACACUAAAGUGUCUGAACAUGUCUUGUUAAGUAUGUUUGAUUCAUUAUAUGUAGUUCUUAGUUCCUUUCUCUUUCUUCAGUUCAUUUUUUAACAUUUCAAUAAUAUAUCUAUAAAUAUGAAAAAGUUGGCACUUUCCAAGUCCCUGACAUAUAUGGCUACUAAUUCAUGGCUCUAAAAAAUUGUAUCUUUCAACAUGUCAUUUUAAAUGUUGUACAUUUUAUUGCUGUAAGUAACCUGUGUUAGAAAUUAAAUGUUGAACUUUAGCAAGGAAAUAAAUAAAAUGGUUGACAGAGAGGCUGUACUGAAGGUACCUGGAUGUAGUGCUAUGAUAAAAUUGCUGCCCUUCUCCCACCCUGAAAUGACUGUCUGAUUCUUGAGGCAUGUCACUUGCUGUUGCUCCACUUGCAUACAAAGUAAAUGAGAUGCUACUGUAAAUUUAAGAGAACGUCUUCUUCACUAAUGAGGCCUAGGGCCCAUUGAGAUCAUCUGGAGAGGUUCGUCUGCAGUUGCCACCAGCUUGUCUGGUGGCUUCACAGGGACAGGCCUUCUCCAUUGCCACCCCGAAACUGGAAUGCACUUCCUGCAGAAAUAAGAGCCUCCCCAUCUCUGACAACUUUUAAGAAGUCUCUAAAGACACAUUUAUUCACCCAAGCUUUUUAACGAGACUUGUGGUUUUAAAUUGUUUUAAGGUUUUAAUUUCUGUUUUUAAUUUGUUUUAUGUUGCUGUAA